rnacentral:lncRNA from 1 species
UUAGCUCUAUACCCUGUACUUUUGGUUAUGUUUUGAGAGUAGAUGUUGUAUAGGGUGAGGUUUUGGAGAGUUCAUGAUGUAUAUUCAUUUGAGAAGAGAAUGCAAGUUGUAUUAAAUGGUUAAAGUUUAAAAUGUUAUCUAAAGAGGUUAAAUGUUUCAAUUAUGGUUUAAAUAGCUAAGUUUCUCUCUUUUGUAUACUUGUAUGAUUUUACUUGUAUCGCUUGCUCUAGUUGGUUAUAGCAC